ACGAACCAAGCGAACGUUAUUCGGAAUUACUGGGCUUAAAGCGCGUGUAGGCGGAUGACCACGUCAGUCGUUGAAAUCCCCCGGCUCAACCGGGGAACAGGCGCUGAUACGAGUUGUCUGGAGGUGGGUAGGGGAGACUGGAACUUCCGGUGGAGCGGUGAAAUGCGUUGAGAUCGGAAGGAACGCCCGCGGCGAAAGCGAGUCUCUGGACCCAUUCUGACGCUGAGACGCGAAAGCCAGGGGAGCAAACGGGAUUAGAUACCCCGGUAGUCCUGGCUGUAAACAUUGGGCACUGGGUAGUGGAACCGCCGAUGGUUUCACUGCCGCAGGGAAACCGUGAAGUGCCCCGCCUGGGGAGUAUGGUCGCAAGGCUG
rnacentral:rRNA from 1 species